UUGUAAGGUUUUCUCGUACCGUU
rnacentral:siRNA from 1 species